ACGCUGGCGGCGUGCCUAAUACAUGCAAGUAGAACGCUGAAGAGAGGAGCUUGCUCUUCUUGAAUGAGUUGCGAACGGGUGAGUAACGCGUAGGUAACCUGCCUUGUAGCGGGGGAUAACUAUUGGAAACGAUAGCUAAUACCGCAUAACAAUGGGUGACACAUGUCAUUUAUUUGAAAGGGGCAAUUGCUCCACUACAAGAUGGACCUGCGUUGUAUUAGCUAGUAGGUGAGGUAACGGCUCACCUAGGCGACGAUACAUAGCCGACCUGAGAGGGUGAUCGGCCACACUGGGACUGAGACACGGCCCAGACUCCUACGGGAGGCAGCAGUAGGGAAUCUUCGGCAAUGGGGGCAACCCUGACCGAGCAACGCCGCGUGAGUGAAGAAGGUUUUCGGAUCGUAAAGCUCUAUUGUAAGUCAAGAACGAGUGUGAGAGUGGAAAGUUCACACUGUGACGGUAGCUUACCAGAAAGGGACGGCUAACUACGUGCCAGCAGCCGCGGUAAUACGUAGGUCCCGAGCGUUGUCCGGAUUUAUUGGGCGUAAAGCGAGCGCAGGCGGUUUGAUAAGUCUGAAGUUAAAGGCUGUGGCUCAACCAUAGUUCGCUUUGGAAACUGUCAAACUUGAGUGCAGAAGGGGAGAGUGGAAUUCCAUGUGUAGCGGUGAAAUGCGUAGAUAUAUGGAGGAACACCGGUGGCGAAAGCGGCUCUCUGGCCUGUAACUGACGCUGAGGCUCGAAAGCGUGGGGAGCGAACAGGAUUAGAUACCCUGGUAGUCCACGCCGUAAACGAUGAGUGCUAGGUGUUGGAUCCUUUCCGGGAUUCAGUGCCGCAGCUAACGCAUUAAGCACUCCGCCUGGGGAGUACGACCGCAAGGUUGAAACUCAAAGGAAUUGACGGGGGCCCGCAC
rnacentral:rRNA from 1 species